rnacentral:rRNA from 1 species
UACGAAGGGGGGCUAGCGUUGCUCGGAAUGACUGGGCGUAAAGGGCGCGUAGGCGGAUGAUACAGUCAGAUGUGAAAUUCCCGGGCUUAACCUGGGGGCUGCAUUUGAGACGUGUUGUCUAGAGUGAGGAAGAGGGUUGUGGAAUUCCCAGUGUAGAGGUGAAAUUCGUAGAUAUUGGGAAGAACACCCGUGGCUAAGGCGGUUCUCUAGUACGGUACUGACGCUGAGACGCGAAAGCGUGGGGAGCGAACAGG